UUGGAGGUAAAGAAGGCGGGGUCAGUUAAGACCAUGUGACCCUCGCUGAUACCCACCUCCCACAGAAACGCCGCUGAGAGAACAACUCGCGCCCGCAGACGGCCCGGGUUACAUCUCAGCCGACACGU
rnacentral:scRNA from 1 species